AUCGCAAGUCCCAAAUAGGACGAAACGCGCGUCCUGGAU
rnacentral:hammerhead_ribozyme from 1 species